rnacentral:lncRNA from 1 species
CUCAGAAAACCGAAAACGAAGAAACCGAGUUCAAGGUUCCCGAAACUAUUACUCUCUGCGUUAACAACUGCGGCGUCACCGGGAACCCCGCCACCAACAACAUGUGCCAGAACUGCUUUACCGCUUUCACCGCCUCCACCGCCACAACCUCAUCCGCCGCCUCUGCCGGAAUCUCCUCGCCCUCCGCUAGAUCCGUUGCUUCCGCGCGUCCUCAGAAGAGAUCCUUCCCCGAAGAGCCUUCUUCGGCUGCAGAUCCUCCCUCCUCCGACCAAAACGCGCCGUCCGAGGCCAAACGCGUCGUCAACCGCUGCUCCGGUUGCCGGCGGAAGGUUGGACUCACCGGAUUCCGAUGCCGGUGCGGCGACCUCUUCUGCGCGGAGCAUCGGUACUCCGACCGCCACGACUGCAGUUACGACUACAAAGCCGCCGGAAGAGAAGCCAUCGCCAGGGAGAAUCCGGUGGUCAGAGCCGCCAAGAUUGUUAAAGUCUGAAAGAAAGGAAAAAAACACAAAA